rnacentral:rRNA from 1 species
AUUGAACGCUGGCGGCAGGCCUAACACAUGCAAGUCGAACGAGCGGCGGACGGGUGAGUAAUGUCUGGGAAACUGCCUGAUGGAGAGGGAUAACUAAUGGAAACGGUAGCUAAUACAGCGUCCAAUCAGAUGUACCCAACUGGGAUUAGCUCGUCGGUGGGGGAAUGGCUCACCAAGGCGACGAUCCCUAGCUGGUCUGAGAGGCAGACCAGCCACACUGGAACUGAGACCAGGGCCAGACGCCUACGUGAGGAAGCAGUGGGGAAUUUUGCACAAUGGGCGCAAGCCUGAUGCAGCCAGGCCGCGUGUGUGAAGAAGGCCUGCGGGUUGUAAAGCACUGUCAGCGGGGAGGCGUUACCCGCAGAAGAAGCACCGGCUAACUCCGUGCCAGCAGCCGCGGUAAUAC